rnacentral:rRNA from 1 species
GGACUAGAGUGUGGUAGGGGAGACUGGAAUUCCUGGUGUAGCGGUGAAAUGCGCAGAUAUCAGGAGGAACACCGGAUGGCGAAGGCAGGUCUCUGGGCCAUAACUAACACUGAGAAGCGAAAGCAUGGGGAGCGAACAGGAUUAGAUACCCUGGUAGUCCAUGCCGUAAACGUUGGGCGCUAGGUGUGGGGCUCAUUCCACGAGUUCCGUGCCGCAGCUAACGCAUUAAGCGCCCCGCCUGGGGAGUACGGCCGCAAGGCUAAAACUCAAAGGAAUUGACGGGGGCCCGCACAAGCGGCCGGAGCAUGCGGAUUAAUUCGAUGCAACGCGAAGAACCUUACCAAGGCUUGACAUACACCGGAAACACUCAGAGAUGGGUGCCCCGCAAGGUCGGUGUACAGGUGGUGCAUGGUUGUCGUCAGCUCGUGUCGUGAGAUGUUGGGUUAAGUCCCGCAACGAGCGCAACCCUCGUUCCAUGUUGCCAGCACGUAAUGGUGGGGACUCAUGGGAGACUGCCGGGGUCAACUCGGAGG